rnacentral:rRNA from 1 species
CCUACGGGUGGCUGCAGUGGGGAAUCUUGGACAAUGGGGGCAACCCUGAUCCAGCGACGCCGCGUGGGUGAUGAAGGCCUUCGGGUCGUAAAGCCCUUUUGCCGGGGACGAUGAUGACGGUACCCGGAGAAGAAGCACCGGCUAACUCUGUGCCAGCAGCCGCGGUAAGACAGAGGGUGCUAGCGUUGUUCGGAAUUACUGGGCGUAAAGGGCGCGUAGGCGGCCCGUUUAGUCGGGUGUGAAAUCCCAAGGCUCAACCUUGGAACUGCAUUCGA